UGCAUGUCUAAGUACAUGCCGUAUUAAGGCGAAACCGCGAAUGGCUCAUUAAAUCAGUUAUGGUUCCUUGGAUCGUACCUUACUACUUGGAUAACUGUGGCAAUUCUAGAGCUAAUACAUGCAGCAGAGCUCCGACCCUCUGGGGACGAGCGCUUUUAUUAGACCAAAACCAAUCGGACCUCGUGUCCGUCUCUUGUGGUGACUCUGUAUAACUUUGGGCUGAUCGCACGGGCCCGUCCCGGCGACGUAUCUUUCAAGUGUCUGCCUUAUCAACUUUCGAUGGUAGGUUACGCGCCUACCAUGGUCGUAACGGGUAACGGGGAAUCAGGGUUCGAUUCCGGAGAGGGAGCCUGAGAAACGGCUACCACAUCCAAGGAAGGCAGCAGGCGCGCAAAUUACCCACUCCCAGAACGGGGAGGUAGUGACGAAAAAUAACAAUACGGGACUCUUUUGAGACCCCGUAAUUGGAAUGAGUACACUUUAAAUCCUUUAACGAGGAUCCAUUAGAGGGCAAGUCUGGUGCCAGCAGCCGCGGUAAUUCCAGCUCUAAUAGCGUAUAUUAAAGUUGUUGCGGUUAAAAAGCUCGUAGUUGGAUCUCAGUUCCAGACGGGUGGUCCUCCUUACGGUGGCUACUGCCUGUUCUGAACAGCCAGCCGGUUUCUCUUGAUGAUCUUCACCGGUUGUCUUGGGUGACCGGCAAGUUUACUUUGAAAAAAUUAGAGUGCUCAAAGCAGGCGUGACGCCUGAAUAAUGGUGCAUGGAAUAAUGGAAUAGGACCUCGGUUCUAUUUUGUUGGUUUUCGGAACACGAGGUAA
rnacentral:rRNA from 1 species